rnacentral:rRNA from 1 species
GUGCCAGCAGCCGCGGUAAUACAGAGGUCCCAAGCGUUGUUCGGAUUCACUGGGCGUAAAGGGUGCGUAGGUGGUCGGGUAAGUUUGGUGUGAAAUCUCCGAGCUCAACUCGGAAACGGCACUAAAAACUACUCGGCUGGAGGGUCGGAAGGGGGGCUGGAAUUCUCGGUGUAGCAGUGAAAUGCGUAGAUAUCGAGAGGAACACCAGUGGCGAAAGCGAGUCCCUGGACGACUCCUGACACUGAGGCACGAAAGCUAGGGGAGCAAACAGGAUUAGAUACCCCCGUAGUCC